rnacentral:misc_RNA from 1 species
UGAAAAUAUUGCUACAUGAAAACAAAUGUUACCGCUAUUAUUGCAAAGGAAAAAAAUCAAGGGGCAGCAGUUAAAAUAAUAGAGAACAUGAAAAUGCAGGGAAGACUUGGAAAAAAAUCAUACAGGGUGAUGUUUCCCUUAACCUUCAAAGAAACUUUUAAUAAAUAUAAAUCAAAUUAUGCAGUAUUCCAUCUCAGUUCAAGUUCUUCAUAAAUGCUAAAGAAAUAUAUUCAGAAUGACAUCAAAAUGGAUUUUUAAGUGUCAUGUUAGGUUCAUAUUAAACUUUUGGAAUAAAUCGUUG